rnacentral:rRNA from 1 species
UACGUAGGGUGCAAGCGUUGUCCGGAAUUAUUGGGCGUAAAGAGCUCGUAGGCGGUCUGUCGCGUCUGCUGUGAAACCUAGGGCUUAACUCUGGGCGUGCAGUGGGUACGGGCAGGCUAGAGUGCGGUAGGGGAGACUGGAAUUCCUGGUGUAGCGGUGAAAUGCGCAGAUAUCAGGAGGAACACCGGUGGCGAAGGCGGGUCUCUGGGCCGUAACUGACGCUGAGGAGCGAAAGCGUGGGGAGCGAACAGG